rnacentral:rRNA from 1 species
AGUGAACGCUGGCGGUAGGCCUAACACAUGCAAGUCGAACGGCAGCACAGUAAGAGCUUGCUCUUACGGGUGGCGAGUGGCGGACGGGUGAGGAAUACAUCGGAAUCUACUUUUUCGUGGGGGAUAACGUAGGGAAACUUACGCUAAUACCGCGUACGACCUACGGGUGAAAGCAGGGGAUCUUCGGACCUUGCGCGAUUGAAUGAGCCGAUGUCGGAUUAGCUAGUUGGCGGGGUAAAGGCCCACCAAGGCGACGAUCCGUAGCUGGUCUGAGAGGAUGAUCAGCCACACUGGAACUGAGACACGGUCCAGACUCCUACGGGAGGCAGCAGUGGGGAAUAUUGGGCAAUGGGCGCAAGCCUGAUCCAGCCAUACCGCGUGGGUGAAGAAGGCCUUCGGGUUGUAAAGCCCUUUUGUUGGGAAAGAAAAGCAGCAGGUUAAUACCCCGCUGUUCUGACGGUACCCAAAGAAUAAGCAUCGGCUAACUUCGUG